rnacentral:rRNA from 1 species
CCUACGGGAGGCAGCAGUGGGGAAUAUUGCACAAUGGGGGAAACCCUGAUGCAGCGACGCCGCGUGAAGGAAGAAGGAUUUCGGGAUGUAAACUUCUAUCAGCAGGGAAGAAAAUGACGGUACCUGACUAAGAAGCCACGGCGAACUACGUGACAGCAGCCGCGGUAAUACGGAGGGGGCAAGCGUUAUCCGGAUUUACUGGGGGGAAAGGGGGCGUAGGCGGCGCUGCAAGUCAGAAGUGAAAGCCCGGGGCUCCACGCCGGGACUGCUUGUGAAACGGUGUUGCGAGAUUGCAGGAGAGGUCAGUGGAAUUCCUAGUGUAGCGGUGAAAUGCGUAGAUAUUAGGCGGAACCCCAGUUGCGAAGGCGGCUUACUGGACUGUAACUGACGCUGCGGCUCGAAAGCGUGGGUAGCAAACAGGAUUAGAUACCCGAGUAGUC